rnacentral:rRNA from 1 species
UACGAGGGGGGCAAGCGUUGUUCGGAUUCACUGGGCGUAAAGGGUGCGUAGGCGGUCGGGUAAGUCUGAUGUGAAAUCUCACAGCUUAACUGUGAAACUGCAUUGGAUACUAUCCGGCUCGAGGAAUGGAGGGGAGACUGGAAUACUUGGUGUAGCAGUGAAAUGCGUAGAUAUCAAGUGGAACACCAGUGGCGAAGGCGAGUCUCUGGACAUUUCCUGACGCUGAGGCACGAAAGCCAGGGGAGCAAACGGG